GAGAUCUAGGAGAGAAAAGACAGACUUGAGAAGGCCGCAUCCUCCGGCUCUUGGCCGAACUGCUGCAGCUUCUCUCCUGUACCGCAUCAAUUGGCACCGAGCACCCCCCUCGAUCACCCCGGGCCGCGGCCCUCCCUCCCGGGUGGGAGGGAAAAGUGUUCCACGAAGCGGUAGCGCCUUGCCGCCUCGCCUUCUCCUCCCUGACCCUGGGCCCAGCCCCCGUCCCAGCGCCAGCUGGUGGAGCCAGGGCUAGAAGCCCUCGGCGCCCCGGGAGCGCAGAGCGCAAGGGACCCAGGCGCGGGGCCGGCGCCCGCACAUGGCUGCAGCCCCCUGCGCGCACCCCGAGGCGCCGCGCCCUGCUAGCAGAAGGUCCGUCGGCUGCGCUCGGUCUCCCCGCAGCCAGGCAGCGCUGAGCCGGGAAGCGCCCGUGUCCGGGGAUCGGGAUGUCCCUCUUCUUCCUCUGGCUAGGUAGUGACUCUCUGUGCUGGGUCCUACGGGUGGAUACAGAAUCACACGUGACUCAAGACUCUGCUCGUUUCACUGGGGUCAGAGGACCAGGUUGACAGAGGAAAAUAAAAAUGUUGAACAGUGCCAGACAGAGCUAAAAUGUUCGGAACAGACAAGGACGGGACUAGGGGUUUUGCAAAAGAAUAGUUAAGAGGACGGAAGAUUCUUCUGCUGGUAGUGUGAGGGAGAGAGGGUAGGCACG